rnacentral:lncRNA from 1 species
GGACGUGUGGCUGGUACACUCUGUGGAGGAGACCCAGAGCCUGCUGACAGCGCACGAUCAGUUCAAGGCAACACUGCCCGAGGCUGACCGAGAGCGAGGUGCCAUCAUGGGCAUCCAGGGUGAGAUCCAGAAGAUCUGCCAGACGUAUGGGCUGCGGCCCUGCUCCACCAAUCCCUACAUCACCCUCAGCCCGCAGGACAUCAACACCAAGUGGGAUAUGGUCAGUGCCACCUGCAGCCUUCCUCCCACCCCCUCCUGCAUACUGUGACCACCCUGAAAUCUCGGGUGGCCCAAGAUAUGGAGAAUAAAGUCCAUCUUCAGAUGUGGGGUCUGCCACAGACUCCACGUG